AAAAUCCGUUGGUUUCACGGGACCGUGAGGG
rnacentral:tRNA from 1 species